AAAUGUGAAGGUGAUCUGGCUGUGAUGUCUGCCUUUCUAUUGAUCACCAGGGCUGUCUUGGCAGAUCUGGUUAGCUAAGCAAAUGUCUGCUUCCUCCCCACACUACACUAUGUGUGUCCCCAAAACUGGCAAGAGGAUGAUCUUCCCCAAUAGAGAAGGAUCGUGUUUCUGUCAAGAGCAUGUGAGUAGCUGUAUUCCCCUGCUAAAACCUCCAAACAAACUUGCAAGAUAGAGUUACACUCCCACAAGCCAAGGAAUUGCUAGAAGCCAGGAAAGAAGCGUGAAGUAGGUC
rnacentral:snRNA from 1 species